rnacentral:misc_RNA from 1 species
CUGAAGUUUGUUCUUGCACCAACCUCCAAGAAAACAAACUGAUGACAACAUCUGUAGAUGUAGAUAUUUUUCCUAAUCAAACUGUUGCCCCCAAUAAGGAGGACAUAAUUGAAAUGAGUGACAUGAUUGGUCCAAAUGAUGUUUCAAAUAGCAAGGAAAAACAUAGUGAACAUUUUGAACCAAUAGAUACUUAUUUAAGUUCUACUUGUCAAUCGA